GUAACAUAAGUACAAGCCCACAAACGUGACGCCGGAGUUACCUAAAUGGUAGCAUAAGUAAAGCCCUCAAACGAGGCACCAAGUUAUUUAGAUAAUAACAUAAGCAAAGCCCUUAAACGAGGCACAAAGUUACCAAGAUAUUUAGAAGCAAAAUGAAGUUGAGUUACUUAUACAAUAACACAAACAAAGGAAGCAAUACUAACUACUUAAGUCGGCAACACCAAAUAAAAUCCUACUAAGUUGGCAGCAUAAAACAAAGCCACCUUAAGUCGAUAGUAAUCAGUAACACAAAACUUGCUCAAAUAAGUGGCAUCAGAUCCUUCGAAGUUAAUAAUUCAAAGCAC
rnacentral:lncRNA from 1 species